CAGUGAGAAAUCGCUGCUAAUACCGGAUAAUGUCUUCGGACCAAAGAUUUAUCGCCUUUGGAUGGGCCCGCGUUGGAUUAGCUAGUUGGUGGGGUAAAGGCUCACCAAGGCGACGAUCCAUAGCUGGUCUUAGAGGAUGAUCAGCCACACUGGGACUGAGACACGGCCCAGACUCCUACGGGAGGCAGCAGUGGGGAAUAUUGGACAAUGGGCGAAAGCCUGAUCCAGCAAUGCCGCGUGAGUGAUGAAGGCCUUAGGGUUGUAAAGCUCUUUUACCAGGGAUGAUAAUGACAGUACCUGGAGAAUAAGCUCCGGCUAACUCCGUG
rnacentral:rRNA from 1 species